rnacentral:rRNA from 1 species
UGGGGAAUAUUGCACAAUGGGCGCAAGCCUGAUGCAGCCAUGCCGCGUGUGUGAAGAAGGCCUUGGUUGUAAAGCACUUUCAGCGGGGAGGAAGGCGAUAAGGUUAAUAACCUUGUCGAUUGACGUUACCCGCAGAAGAAGCACCGGCUAACUCCGCGCCAG